AUGGGAGCUUUGAAGGCUAACGGGCUAAGAGGACUCAAUCAAGUAAGCGAACGAGAAUACGGACGCGCAAGGUUAUACAUGUUUGGAUGUUUCAUCUAGAAGUGUACGCGGUUGGAGAUCGAGUCAAGACACGGAUUGUAUGUGGGUGUGUACGUAGUCACAUAAUUGAGACAUGUAUGUAGUUUUUUUGGAUUAAUUUAUAAAAAGAGAUUAAUGUAUU
rnacentral:lncRNA from 1 species